GACGAACGCUGGCGGCGUGCUUAACACAUGCAAGUCGAACGGAAAGGCCCUGCUUUUGUGGGGUGCUCGAGUGGCGAACGGGUGAGUAACACGUGAGUAACCUGCCCUUGACUUUGGGAUAACUUCAGGAAACUGGGGCUAAUACCGGAUAGGAGCUCCUGCUGCAUGGUGGGGGUUGGAAAGUUUCGGCGGUUGGGGCUGGACUCGCGGCUUAUCAGCUUGUUGGUGGGGUAGUGGCUUACCAAGGCUUUGACGGGUAGCCGGCCUGGGAGGGUGACCGGCCACCUUGGGACUGCGGUACGGCCCAGACUCCUACGGGCGGCAGCAGUGGUGAAUAUUGCACAAUGGGCGGACGCCUGAUGCAGCAACCCCGCGUGCGGGAUGACGGCCUUCGGGUUGUAAACCGCUUUCGCCUGUGACGAAGCGUGAGUGACGGUAAUGGGUAAAGAAGCACCGGCUAACUACGUG
rnacentral:rRNA from 1 species